rnacentral:rRNA from 1 species
GAUGAACGCUGGCGGCGUGCCUAAUACAUGCAAGUCGAGCGAACGGACGAGAAGCUUGCUUUUCUGAUGUUAGCGGCGGACGGGUGAGUAACACGUGGAUACCUACCUAUAAGACUGGGAUAACUUCGGGAAACCGGAGCUAAUAUCGGAUAAUAUUUUGAACCGCAUGGUUCAAAAGUGAAAGACGGUCUUGCUGUCACUUAUAGAUGGAUCCGCGCUGCAUUAGCUAGUUGGUAAGGUAACGGCUUACCAAGGCAACGAGGCAUAGCCGACCUGAAGGGGUGAUCGGCCACACUGGAACGGAGACACGGUCCAGACUCCUACGGGGGGCAGCAGUAGGGAAUCUGCCGCAAGGGGCGAAAGCCUGACGGAGCAACGCCGCGUGAGUGAUGAAGGUCUUCGGAUCGUAAAACUCUGUUAUUAGGGAAGAACAUAUGUGUAAGUAACUGUGCACAUCGUGACGGUACCUAAUCAGAAAGCCACGGCUAACUACGUG